rnacentral:rRNA from 1 species
UCGAUGAAGAACGUAGCAAAAUGCGAUACUUGGUGUGAAUUGCAGAAUCCCGUGAACCAUCGAGUUUUUGAACGCAAGUUGCGCCCAAAGCCAUUUGGUUGAGGGCACGUCUGCCUGGGCGUCACGU